CAGGCUCAACCAAUCAGAGUGAGAGCUGCGUUUUUCCCUCGGCUUUCAGUCCGCUGCUGUCUGCAGUUCGCGAUGGCUGAACGAGCUGGGGCACUGUUUAGACCAGCGGUACUCAGCUGACAGUCUGUGGGCCACGUCCAGCCCGCAGGUUCAUUCUUUGUGGCCCUUGGUCCACCAGGACAGGGAUGCACUGACAUCUGGCCAGGUCAGAUGUCUUACCUGUCGUAUUCCGAUGCCAGGAAAAGGCAGAUUGCAAUGCUGAGAUGGUUCUGGACCACAUCACCUGGCCAGAUGAAGAAGAGCUGGAGGAUGACAGCGAAUCUCCUCUUGCUGUGAAAUGUUAGAUCACAAGCUACUUGCGUAGAUUUGUUGAGACAGUGUAUGAAGAGCAAAGGAAGCAGCUCGUGAAGUUUUGGGUUGGAUGGGAGAAACCCAUGAAGGAUAUGAAAGUGGAAAUAAUGCAGGCAGACCAUCCAACCUCAUCUAGCUGCUUCCAUAUUCUACGUCUGCCCUGCCACUACACAACAUUUGAUGUUUCGCAAUCAUCUUGAAAGUUGCAUAGCAACCAAUGUUCAUGGUUUUGGAUUGAUCUAAAGUUUAACGUCAUGCUAUUUGCCAGUGCUGUUCAGGUUAUACCAAACAAAUCUUUUUUUUAUUUAAUCAUCAAGUUACAGCUGAAAGUUUCAGGAAUAUUGAGUUACAAGUAAGGCACAGCUGUGUUAUAUGAUAAAUGUUUUAUUGUAAUUUUACAAGUAGAGAAAUCAUUUUCAAGAUUGCAUUUUAUACAUAUGCAACAAACAAAACGUUGCUGCAUCCAGGGUCAUGACAAUAGAACAAUAUUUUUGUAGCUUAAUG